CUGCAAGAAUUACCAAAAUAUGACACAAAGACACAAAGUGAGCACAUGCUAAAAAAAAAUGGUGCCAAUAGACUUGCUGAACAAAGACUUGCCACAAACUUUCACUUGGUAAAAAACACAAUACCUGUAAAGUGCAAUAUCAUCCUGUGAGGUGACCCCCAAAUUAUCAAAAGUAGCCACCAAGUGUGACUGUGAGUCAGCACGAUGCUAAAGACAUUUGGGUUAAAAGCAUUUCCCCAAAUGUUUGGAUGUUUGUAAAUUGGUAAAAACGAAAUAGUCAAGCAACUGACGGAUUUUUCCACUUCCUUUUAAACCGAAUUACAUGAUGUCUAUCACAUAAAAUGUUAGUGACUUUUAGAACUUAGAUCUGUGUAUCUUAGAGACUGUGGACUCUUAAGCCAACAAACACGAACUUAGGAGGAUUCCCUCUCAGAAGGUUCCCAGGGUCCUGCUAAACUCUGGUCCACCAGGCAGGUUUCAAUCUCUCCUGCCUGGCCUUUGAAAACAGGAAGGAGAAGGAGGACCUGGUUUGUCCUGUGGCUCCAAACUAGCAGGGGAAGGUGAUUUGUGUAGGUAGCCAGGAACAGGAAUCCUUGGUCGAUGAGGUGGGAGUGUCUGUGUCCAGCCUAUCACUGACGCGAUUUCAGGACACAGUCGCUCUGCUCACUCCACGGAAUGGCAUCAGCGUACAGGUGACAGGAGAUACCUACAUAUUUGAGAAGGGCGAUGAUGUAAUGGAGGUGCUAGAGAGGGCUAGUCAAGAAGUGUUGAUUUCUAUGAAGGCCCUGAUGCUUUCAAGUAUGAAAGACGGUGGUUUCAAAUGCUGGAAACCCAGGUUUGUUCUCAGUCCAGGGUGGGGUUUUUUCGCACCGUUUUGGGGCUGGUGUCUGUUUAAGUUGAAAUUGGACAUUCAUCGAGAGUUUAUUUCUUGGUACUAUUGCCCCUUGGCAAGCUCUUGAGCAGUGUGGUUACUUGCCCAAGGUCUCCCCAGACUUUGACCUAGGCCCCCUGCUUUUCAACCACUUCCUUUGCUUUGAGACCGCUGUCUUCUGUGUGAAUUGUUCUGUGGCUUUCUAAUUUCUACCCUAGCAAGUUUAAACUACUCUGCCUGGCAAGUGUUGCUACUUUCUGGAUGGCCCACCUGCCCCGACUUAUUUUUACUGAUCAACACCCCUAUUCUCUCCACCUGGCUGGCCUCCUGCUUGUCUAGCACACCUGACUUCCAGGACCUUGCUUGUGCUGUUUCUCUUGUCGGAUAUACCCUUCCUUUUGCUCUAUCCAAUUUCUACCCUUCCUUGAGGCCUGUGCAAAAUCUGCCUUCUUGUGAAGACUUCUUCGGUUUUUUUCUAGCAUUCCUUUCUCUCUUCUCUGCAAUUCUAUGGUAUGUAGAGGCACAUCAAUGCAAGUUGACACUAAAGUACCUAUUGUUUAACAAUGCUUUCACAGUACUGUAUUUACUGCUUUGGUACUAAAAAUAAGGGCUCCUUAAGGAAAAGAUCCAAAUCUUCCUAUACUUUUGGUGGCAGAUGGCGAGUUCUUGUUGAACACUGGCAGACAGAGCUAAUAGAGACUGGUACUCUCUCUUCAUCCCUCCACCCCAAUUUUCUAAGCUAGUAGCACUACCCCAUGUAUAUACCCUGGGGGUUCAGGAUAUGUUAAAGUCCACACUUGGCACCCCCUCUACCAAUCCAGAAAGGUUCCAUUGAUUGAAAACCUUGUCAACAUCUGUGUAAGAGUUUGAAUUGUUAGUUUUCACAUCAGAUUGUUUCAAUCUGGAAAUUUUGAGCCUUUGCUUUUCAUGGUGGCCUGACCAUGCUGCAAAUGUGCUGAAUUCACUUCUGACAUCUCUUAGGUCCUGCUUGGUUCUCAGCCUCUUUGUCUCAUGUCAAGCGUCCUUAACCUCUAUGCAUAGGCACAUCCUCUCGCAAACUCCAGGACAAACAUUGUUUGCCCAUGAACAAUUUAAGGAAUGACAGCACAGUCUUUUGUUAUUCCAAUCCCCCAAACCUUGGGCUAGAAAGCUGAAUUGUUGACCUUGGCCUUGUUUCUGAGCCAUGUGCUCGCAUUUGCUUUGGGUCUGAGAGCUGGAUCCAGUCUUAUUAGCUAUCUCAGAAAUGCUACUGGUACUCCAACAUCUAUCCAUUUGAGGGUUUGUGCUGCCUUGCACACUUCUCUGAUGUUGGCUGCUUCUCUGAGCCUCCUGGUAUUGACCUCAAUUUAAUUUCCUGCUAACACUUCGCUUUUCAUGCCACAUUGUGUCUUGACACCAACCAUUUUUCUAAUUUCCACCUAAGUCCACAUGCCACCUGUUGGAUUAGACUUCCUUCAGACCUGUUGUUGACUCUGCUCCCUACCCACUCUACUGUAGAAGUGGGAUUAGUUCUGGAACUUCAUCCUUCUCAGGUUCGCCUGGGCUCAUACAUAUAACUUAACCAUAUCCUGGGACAUAGCAAAAGCAAUUGUCUUCAAAACUCAAGUGGGCUCUGCCUGAGAUGCAUCAACAACCUGACUACCAAGCCCUGAAGUGGGAAGGCAGACAGGGAGUGAGGAGCCUGUGGCUGCAUGCUAUGAGAGCAGCCCAGGGAAGAUAUGAAGGGAGCUUGCAAACCAGGAGAGGCUGAGAUGGGGUCUAAAUUCAUGCCAGGGGAUGGAAUCCUAGUACAGGUGGCAGGCAGGAGAUACCCAAAACUAUAUUGAUAUUGCUGUUAUGGCAGGGCUGGAGAAAGCUAGGCAUGAAUAAUGGCAAAUCCCCACUCAGAGGGGCUGAUGGUAAGGGAAAACUGAGGCAUAAAACUAGUCAUAUAUCAGAGCCAGUAUUGAAUGGAGAUCCUUAGUGAGCAUUUAGGUUCCCAGAACUCUUCCCAAGACUUCAGGCACCUGAUCUCCACUGUCUGAAUGGCUGAGAGGUUGAAGUGCUUUCUUCUUUCGUGAGGCAACUGGGUUAGCCUGUGGAAACAACCCCAAACUCUCAGUGGCUUAAAACACAAAGGCUGAUUUCUUGCCCACUCUAACAUCGAAAUGGUGGUAUAGGGUCAGGGCCGUCUUUGCUCCAUAUUGUUGUCACUCAGGAUCCCAGGAUGACUAGGGACCAGCACUCCUAGUACUCACAUCUCAACAGGAGGCCCAGGUUUGCCACCACAAAAUUGAGAGAGCUGAAUAUAAGGACUUAAAUGUUUUGAAUGCUUCUGCUCACAUUUCAUUGGCCCAAGCUACUUACACUGGACACACUUAACUUCAAAGGGCAGAGCUGUGUAAUUUUCCUUGCACCUGGAAGUAGAGGAGAAUGGGAUUUUGAGACAAUAGUAAUGCCUAUGAAAUUGGGUCAGGAUCAACUCAUGACUUUGGCUUUGUGAUGGCUGUAAAUUUUAUGUGUAUGCUUUGCAGGUGGGACAUAGGGGGAAGUUUAAUUAUUGUCUCAUGUUGAGGAGAGGGGAAGAAAGCGUUAGCAGCUAAAUACAUAGGGUCAACAUAUACUCUACAGAGUAAAACCAUAUUCUGAAAUACAGCUGCAGUCUGGAGUCUGGAACUGUGAUUCACCUUUGUAUGGGCCAAAUCUAGCUUCUGGGCAUAUGUCUUCUCAUUCAUUAAUUAGUGCUGGCCUUAAUAUAUGAGCAUAGUAUAAAGCUAAACCAAUGCCAUCAGAAUUAGCCUUUUUUUUCUUUUUCCUAGUAGAGACGAUGUUUCUGCAAUGAACCAUCCAUGCGCUUUCUCUCCUUGUCCUCAUUAUGUAAAUCACACCAUGUGUGAGCUGGUUGGCCCUAGCUAGGGUUGUGGCCCAUGGCUAUAACUGGUCUAAGAGUCAUGCCAUUAUUUUUGGCUUUACUAGCAUCACAUCUUAAUUGACCAAUUCAGUCAUUGCAUCACAGGAGCUCAAUGAAAUAACUUCAGUUUAUAUGAAAAAAAAAAAAAAAACUAUUUAGAUGUAAUUCAGCUUAUAUUUUAAAAAUUCCUGAACAAUUACAUAGACACAUAUGCUUAUAUACCCCCAAACAUAAAUCAUACAAAUCUCUUCUCUUUCAGAACAAGGAAGUUUUAAGAACCACUUUGAGGAAUGUCUGUGUUUUCAUAGAGUAACAAGAGUAAUUUCCAUUGUCAAACUCAUUGUUGAAGUUUGUCCGCCAUAGAUCCCUCAGUAGACACUCCAAAGAAUAAUUCUCUUCCCAGACAGGGCUUCAAGUGUCAGGACUUACAGUGUGGAAGGGAUUCAAAGAGGGCGCUAGGAAUGGAGAUCACAACUGCCGAAGAUUCAACAGGGCAUGUGUCUUUGGUGUCUUUGUAAGAAAGUAUACUCCAGUACACUUCAGCACAUUCGUUGCCUCGGAGUGAUGCUUUCAAAGCCUUCAUUACCUUCCAGACUAGACUACAUUGACAACAAUUCUUGUUAAACUGAGCCAUUCAAGGUAGAGACAAUUUCAAGAAAUCUCUUGUGGAUGUCCAUUCUGUGAUUAUUUGACUGGAGAAGCGUUCCCUUUUUAAUAAACCAGCAGUCGUAGGCUUUUCUUGGCUCUAGGUGAAGAGGUGACUUCCCUCUUUGAUUCAGUGUUCAUAAUUGGGCUGUCUGUUAGCCAAGGUGGUGAGAAAACAAUGCUAAUGAGGUCAGGGGUUCAAUGCCCACGUGGGUCAGUUAGUGUUUCUUUGUUCUUUGGCCAAUGUCUAUAUCCUCUAACUGUGUCCAGCCACUAUGAUAACAAUAGAGACUGGGAGAGAGUGAGGGAAUGUGGAUGACUCUCUGUAAUAUUAUUCUUCCUACUGUGGAAAACAACUCCAAGUUCAUGUCCUUUUGUCAGCAAAGUAAUCUUCAGGGAUGAAGGAGUACCCAUUAAGAAGCAAUUAAGAAAAUAAAAGGUAUAGUUCCAACAGCAGUGUCAAGGAGGCUGAAGCUACAAGAUCAAUUGUCAUAGCUAGAAAUCAGCUGGAGAAGGCAGCAGCAGUAAAAAUAAUUAUUAUCCAGGGCCAAUUUUCAAUUUCUUAUCAUCCAAAGUUUCAAUGUUUUCUACACAUUUGUGUAAGGUAUAAAGUGUAUUGGUUUGAGUCUCAUCUCUCUUUUUGUUUUUCUCAGCCACAAUCUAUUGGAGAUCCUAAUGAGUAAUAAAAUGCCCAUAGACAGCCAGAAAAAGAAGACUCAGAUAUUCCUACAAGCAAGACCUCAGCCCUGGAGUAACUUAGGUGACAAAGAUUGAUCAUCAGAUGUUUCUUAUGAAUCAACCUGAUAUUUAAAUCCAUGAAGGGGAGAGAUGACAAAGCCAGGUGGAAUAGAUAGAGAAGAGGUCCAAGGUCUGAGCCCUACAUUACUCAGAGUGUUAGAGAUUAGGAAGAAGAGGAAGACCUGGCAAAAGAAUGUCCUGCGAUGUAGAAAGAAAACCAGAAGUUUGUGGUCUCUGGAAACCAAAUAAAGAAAGGGCUUCCAGAAGGACAGACAAAGUGUAGUGUAUCAAAGCACCUGAGCAAUCAGAGGAGAGCACUGAGGGGCUCACAGGACAUUGGUAUCCAGAUCACCCAGUGACACUUCCUGAUCAUGAGAAACUGUCAGACCAACAGGGGCACUUUCUGUAACCAGCGGUUCUUCAUUGCCCAAAUGCAACCUUGAUGGUUUGAUUUUGGAGGAUGGCAAUUCAUUAAUAGCACUCUGCAGUGAUAAAUAUGAAAACCAAUAAAACUCCCCACCCAAGGCAACCUCUCCCAGCUCCUCACUUUGAGUGAAGUGAGUAACCUCCA